rnacentral:rRNA from 1 species
AUGAACGCUAGCGGCAGGCCUAACACAUGCAAGUCGAGGGAGAAGCCCUUUCGGGGGCAGAAACCGGCGCACGGGUGCGUAACGCGUAUGCAACCUACCUUUCACAGGGGGAUAGCCCGAAGAAAUUUGGAUUAAUACCCCAUAAUAUUAUUGGAUGGCAUCAUUUGAUAAUUAAAACUGCGGUGGUGAAAGAUGGGCAUGCGUCCUAUUAGCUAGUUGGAGUGGUAACGGCACCCCAAGGCUACGAUAGGUAGGGGUCCUGAGAGGGAGAUCCCCCACACUGGUACUGAGACAGGGACCAGACUCCUACGGGAGGCAGCAGUGAGGAAUAGUGGUCAAUGGUCGGAAGACUGAACCAGCCAUGCCGCGUGCAGGAGGAAUGCCUUAUGGGUUGUAAACUGCUUUUAUAUGGGAAGAAUAAGGCGUACGUGUACGUUGAUGACGGUACCAUAUGAAUAAGCAUCGGCUAACUCCGUG